UAGGGAAUCUUCCGCAAUGGGCGAAAGCCUGACGGAGCAACGCCGCGUGAGUGAUGAAGGUCUUCGGAUCGUAAAACUCUGUUAAUAGGGAAGAAUAUAUGUGUAAGUAACUAUGCACGUCUUGACGGUACCUAAUCAGAAAGCCACGGCUAACUACGUGCCAGCAGCCGCUGUAAUACGUAGGUGGCAAGCGUUAUCCGGAAUUAUUGGGCGUAAAGCGCGCGUAGGCGGUUUGUUAAGUCUGAUGUGAAAGCCCACGGCUCAACCGUGGAGGGUCAUUGGAGACUGGCAAACUUGAGUGCGGAAGAGGAAAGUGGAAUUCCAUGUGUAGCGGUGAAAUGCGCAGAGAUACGGAGGAACACCAGUGGCGAAGGCGACUUUCUGGUCUGUAACUGACGCUGAUGUGCGAAAGCGUGGGGAUCAAACAGG
rnacentral:rRNA from 1 species